rnacentral:rRNA from 1 species
UACGUAGGGGGCGAGCGUUGUCCGGAUUUAUUGGGCGUAAAGAGCUCGUAGGCGGUUUGGCAAGUCGGGUGUGAAAACUCCGGGCUCAACCCGGAGACGCCACUCGAUACUGCCAUGACUUGAGUCCGGUAGGGGAGUGCGGAAUUCCUGGUGUAGCGGUGAAAUGCGCAGAUAUCAGGAGGAACACCGGUGGCGAAGGCGGCACUCUGGGCCGGUACUGACGCUGAGGAGCGAAAGCGUGGGGAGCGAACAGG